AUUCUAGCUUGAUAUUUUUAAGGUAUAUCCUUAAUUUACUGACUAUCAUCAAUAUGAUUAUAUAUUUUUAAACUUUAGCUCUCAGAUUUAUAGAAAUUCAUAAGGUUACUACAAACAGAAAAGAUUUUGAAUUUGUUAUAGUUUUCUCUAAUAUGUUAUAGACUGACUAAACUCUCACAUCAAGGAAGCAUCUACAACCUGAUAAUACAAAGCAC
rnacentral:lncRNA from 1 species